AUUCCAGCUCCAAUAGCGUAUAUUAAAGUUGUUGCAGUUAAAACGCUCGUAGUCGGAUUUCGGGGCGGGCCGACCGGUCUGCCGAUGGGUAUGCACUGGCCGGCGCGUCCUUCCACCCGGAGACCGCGCCUCCUCUUAACUGAGCGGGCGCGGGAGACGGGUCUUUUACUUUGAAAAAAUCAGAGUGUUUCAAGCAGGCAGUCGCUCUUGCAUGGAUUAGCAUGGGAUAAUGAAAUAGGACUCUGGUGCUAUUUUGUUGGUUUCGAACACCGGAGUAAUGAUUAACAGGGACAGUCAGGGGCACUCGUAUUCCGCCGAGAGAGGUGAAAUUCUCAGACCAGCGGAAGACGAACCACUGCGAAAGCAUUUGCCAGGGAUGUUUUCAUUA
rnacentral:rRNA from 1 species